rnacentral:tRNA from 3 species
GGUCCCGUGGUGUAGCGGUUAACAUGCCUGCCUGUCACGCAGGAGAUCGCGGGUUCGAGUCCCGUCGGGACCGCCA